GACGUAGGGCGCGAGCGUUGUCCGGAUUUACUGGGCGUAAAGGGCUCGUAGGCGGCCAACUAAGUCGGACGUGAAAUCCCCAGGCUCAACCUGGGAACUGCGUCCGAUACUGGAUGGCUUGAAUUCGGGAGAGGGAUGCAGAAUUCCAGGUGUAGCGGUGAAAUGCGUAGAUAUCUGGAGGAAUACCGGUGGCGAAGGCGGCAUCCUGGACCGACAUUGACGCUGAGGAGCGAAAGCUAGGGGAGCAAACGGG
rnacentral:rRNA from 1 species